rnacentral:rRNA from 1 species
AAAGCCAGGCAAGAUGAGAUGAUAAACCUCGGGGUGGCCAAAAACCGAACAGGUGCUAUAUAGAGCACCGGU